CACUGAGAUGACCCAUAGUACCCCAUUCCUUGCUGCAAUGUAAUUAUAUUUACUUACAAGUGUGCUCCUGGUGGUCUUUAACUGAAGGGCACUGACUGGGUCACUGGUGAAGUUCCCCGCAGGAACUGAGUCAGACCCCAUCUCAGGGCCCUGCACAAGAUAGGUGCCUGCUCUAAGGCGUGGACCCUCGCCACAGCCCUGGCCCGUCUUGACGGGCGAGGGUUACUGUACUUGUCCCAACCGUACAGAUGAGAAAGCUGAGACUCAGGGCGAGCAACCCGGGUCCCAGCGGAGCGCCCGGCACACGCCGACACUUCAGCACCAGUCGCGGUGGCCACCACUGUGCGCGGAGAUGGCUGCGACGCGUGCGCAGAUCUCGAUCCCAAACUCCCUCCUGCCAGAAUCUGGACCCGAAUCCACCCAUUGCCCGUUUUCUGCUGCCGCUGGAGAGAAUCUCUGAGGUCCCCAGGAGAGCCUGCCUGCACGGAAGAGAUGCCUCCUCAGUAUGGCCGCCCCCGGAGAGGAGCGAUUAAGUGCAGACCUCCAUGUUGCUCUUGAGCCUGAGCGGCUUCAGGGAGCCAUGUUUGUUACUGGCGGGCGCCGACCUCACUGAGCAUGUGCAGCCCUGGCCGGGCGGCCUCAAAGUUCUGACAUCACAGGGCGGUUCCUGAAGUGGACGUAGUUGUAAGAGCUAGUUAUUUUAGACAAUGCCUCUGGGAUCAGGGACUCUAAUCUGGAAAUAGGUAGUAGGAGAGGUCGGUGAUGCAGUCUCUGGAUCAGAGACCUGAGCUAUAUGGGGUUAGAGAGGGGCCCUGGGCAGGCGAGUCUCUGGGGAGUGUGGUGAGAAUCCUUGUGUAAGAUGCUGGGAGGAGGUGGGGUCAGGGCUGGGGUCCGUGGGCCGACGGGUUGGGGGAUGGCCAGCGUCAGGGAUCAGUAGUAGAGAUUCUAUGUGCCCUGAUCGCCAGUGGAGGUUUUAAAUACAGAGUAUUCAUGAGUUUAGCAAUGUUAUUCGCCUCUCAUUAUUUAAAUAAUUUGAAAUUUUCCCCAAUAACUAGUGUCUUAGAAGUCAUGAAAAUUUCAGAAAAUGACAGGUCUCCUGAGUUCGUGAUGGGAGUUGGGCAGCAGUCGCAUACGAGCACCUGGAGAGUCCUUGCCAGUUCUUUGGGGAUGGGGAGCUCUUAAGACUGCCCUGAGACCGCCCUUUGACCUCAUUAUGGUCCUUUCUAGAUCAAAUGCUGUUUUCCAUGACUGUCUCUGUUCUUCCCAUACGCGAAUGGCAGGCAUCCAGAUCUCCAAGAAUAGAGGAUUAGGAGAGACUCCACCACCUAUGUCCUCACAGUUAAUUAUCGAUUUGUGUCAGUUGCCCAUUUUCUCACUUCCUGUUUGUGUGUCAAGGAGUAUUAAUAAAUCUUUGCCUAUUUAAAGAUAUUAGCCUUGGAUUUUCAAAUAUUGCAUAUUUUGACAUGUAAAAAUUUGUUAGUUUUAUUUUUUCAACCGAUCUGACCUGUAUAGUUGGGCUUGAGGAAGCUUCCUCAUUCUACAUGUUACUAUGGAUUUUCUAAUAUUAACACAGGGUUGUAUUUUUUCCAUAUAACUUUCUAUUGAAUUUCUUUUUCCAUAUGAUAGGUGGUGAAGGUUUAGCCCAGUAAAGCAGAGAGGUUAAGAGGUUAGAUUGGGGGCUCUGGAGCCAGACCUAUGUAGAUCUGAGUCCUGGCUCUGGCACUUGAAAGCCGUGUGACCUUGGUUAAGAUACUUAGUCCCUCUCUGCCAAAUGGAGAAAUAAGGGCACCUACCCCAUAGGGUAGUUGUGUGAUUACACAAGUUAAUACACUUCAAUCAGUAGCAAGAAAGUGAAUGUCAAGCUGUAUUUGUUCAGGCAGCCAUAUGGUAGCCCCACGUCCUUAGUAAACUGAGGUAUUGAAGUAUCUUCUUUUUCUUUCAGAAAAUAUUUGUCAAGCACCUUCUGUGUUCUAAGAACUGUUCUAGAGCUUUGCAUGCUAUGGAGGUCUAGAAAUUCACAUUAUGGUGGCAGGUGACAGACAAUACAAAGAGAUAAAGCAAUUUCAUAUAGUGAUAAGCUAGGGAGGAGUGCUAAAAGGAGCCAAGGUGUAGUGGUGACUGGAAGGUGACCAGGGAAACCACUGUAGGGUUUCUAAGUGAUGAGAUCUGUGACAAAUCCCUGUGGUCAGCAGCAGGCAUUGGAUAUGUAACUUUAUUCUGUCCCAUUGAUCUUGUAGUCAACCCUGGUCUGUUCUGUAUUGUUUUAAUUACAUAA
rnacentral:lncRNA from 1 species